rnacentral:rRNA from 1 species
GAUGAACGCUGGCGGCGUGCCUAAUACAUGCAAGUCGAGCGAACAGACGAGAGUGCUUGCACUCUCUGACGUUAGCGGCGGACGGGUGAGUAACAUGUGGGUAACCUACCUAUAAGACUGGGAUAACUUCGGGAAACCGGAGCUAAUACCGGAUAAUAUUUAGCUUCGCAUGAAGCAAUAGUGAAAGACGGUUCUGCUGUCACUUAUAGAUGGACCCGCGGUGUAUUAGCUAGUUGGUGAGGUAACGGCUCACCAAGGCAACGAUACAUAGCCGACCUGAGAGGGUGAUCGGCCACACUGGGACUGAGACACGGCCCAGACUCCUACGGGAGGCAGCAGUAGGGAAUCUUCCGCAAUGGACGAAAGUCUGACGGAGCAAUGCCGCGUGAGUGAAGAAGGUUUUCGGAUCGUAAAACUCUGUUGUAAGGGAAGAACAAGUACGUUAGUAACUGAACGUACCUUGACGGUACCUUACCAGAAAGCCACGGCUAACUACG